CCUACGGGAGGCAGCAGUGGGGAAUAUUGGACAAUGGGCAAAAGCCUGAUCCAGCCAUGCCGCGUGUGUGAAGAAGGCCUUCGGGUUGUAAAGCACUUUCAGUGGGGAAGAAAGCCUUGGGGCUAAUACCCUCGAGGAAGGACAUCACCCACAGAAGAAGCACCGGCUAACUCCGUGCCAGCAGCCGCGGUAAUACGGAGGGUGCGAGCGUUAAUCGGAAUUACUGGGCGUAAAGCGCGCGUAGGCGGUCUGAUAAGCCGGUUGUGAAAGCCCCGGGCUCAACCUGGGAACGGCAUCCGGAACUGUCAGGCUAGAGUGCAGGAGAGGAAGGUAGAAUUCCCGGUGUAGCGGUGAAAUGCGUAGAGAUCGGGAGGAAUACCAGUGGCGAAGGCGGCCUUCUGGACUGACACUGACGCUGAGGUGCGAAAGCGUGGGUAGCAAACAGGAUUAGAUACCCGGGUAGUC
rnacentral:rRNA from 1 species